rnacentral:misc_RNA from 1 species
AGCUCUGCUUCCUUCUCCAUCUUUAGCAUCGAAGUAGCUUUUUUAUGAUAGUUGUUUCCAUGACGAUGCUUCUCUUGUUCUUUGGGUUCCCAGCUUGCCGUUCGGUGCCCUUGGAUUACAGGGGACCUCCCCUUCAGGCAUAUCACCUGUAUAAAGUCCCCUUGCAGUGCUUCAAUUAGUUUCGUGAUCUCCCACUGGUGUUUGCCAGAUCGAGCUGACGUUGCUCUGCUUCUCGCCAAGGCCCUUAGAGAUGGGAUUCCCUAUUGUGAGAUGUUUUAUCGGGUCAUGGGUAUACUGGUCAAGAUCCAUUUUUACUAGGGUUUUCUUUUGUCUUGGGCUGGAUUUUUUAAGUAAAAAUUGGAUCUUUAACUGAUUUUCCUCGUUUAUUUGGUGGCCAUGUGCCUGAUCUGUAUUUAAG